UACGGAGGGUGCAAGCGUUGUCCGGAUUUAUUGGGUUUAAAGGGUGCGUAGGCGGCCCGUUAAGUCAGCGGUGAAAUCCCGGGGCUCAACCCCGGAACUGCCGUUGAUACUGGCGGGCUUGAGUUCGGUCGAGGCGGGCGGAACUGGCGGUGUAGCGGUGAAAUGCUUAGAUACCGCCAAGAACCCCGAUUGCGAAGGCAGCUGACUAGACUGUAUCUGACGCUGAGGCACGAAAGCGUGGGGAGCGAACAGG
rnacentral:rRNA from 1 species